rnacentral:rRNA from 1 species
AGUGAACGCUGGCGGUAGGCCUAACACAUGCAAGUCGAACGGCAGCACAGGAGAGCUUGCUCUCUGGGCGGCGAGUGGCGGACGGGUGAGGAAUACAUCGGAAUCUACUCUGUCGUGGGGGAUAACGUAGGGAAACUUACGCUAAUACCGCAUACGACCUACGGGUGAAAGCAGGGGACCUUCGGGCCUUGCGCGAUUGAAUGAGCCGAUGUCGGAUUAGCUAGUUGGCGGGGUAAAGGCCCACCAAGGCGACGAUCCGUAGCUGGUCUGAGAGGAUGAUCAGCCACACUGGAACUGAGACACGGUCCAGACGCCUACGUGAGGCAGCAGUGGGGAAGAUUGGACAAUGGGCGCAAGCCUGAUCCAGCCAUACCGCGUGGGUGAAGAAGGCCUUCGGGUUGUAAAGCCCUUUUGUUGGGAAAGAAAUCCAGCUGGCUAAUACCCGGUUGGGAUGACGGUACCCAAAGAAUAAGCACCGGCUAACUACGUGCCAGCCGCCGCCGUAA